rnacentral:rRNA from 1 species
AACGAACGCUGGCGGCAGGCUUAACACAUGCAAGUCGAACGCCCCGCAAGGGGAGUGGCAGACGGGUGAGUAACGCGUGGGAAUCUACCUAGUUCUACGGAACAACAGUUGGAAACGACUGCUAAUACCGUAUACGCCCUACGGGGGAAAGAUUUAUCGGAAUUAGAUGAGCCCGCGUAAGAUUAGCUAGUUGGUGGGGUAAUGGCCUACCAAGGCGACGAGCUUUAGCUGGUCUGAGAGGAUGAUCAGCCACACUGGGACUGAGACACGGCCCAGACUCCUACGGGAGGCAGCAGUGGGGAAUAUUGGACAAUGGGCGCAAGCCUGAUCCAGCCAUGCCGCGUGAGUGAUGAAGGCCUUAGGGUUGUAAAGCUCUUUCACCGAUGAAGAUAAUGACGGUAGUCGGAGAAGAAGCCCCGGCUAACUUCGUGCCAGCAGCCGCGGUAACAC